GCCAGUGUAGCUCAGUGGUUAGAGCGUCGGCCCGCGGACUGAAGGGUCCCGGGUUCGAUUCCAGGUCAAGGGCA
rnacentral:tRNA from 1 species